GACGAACGCUGGCGGCGUGCUUAACACAUGCAAGUCGAACGGAAAGGCCCUGCUUUUUUGGUGUGCUCGAUUGGCGAACGGGUGAGUAACACGUGAGUAACCUGCCCUUGACUUUGGGAUAACUUCAGGAAACUGGGGCUAAUACCGUAUAGGAGCUCCUGCUGCAUUGUGGGGGUUGGAAAGUUUCGGCGGUUGGGGAUGGACUCGCGGCUUAUCAGCUUGUUGGUUGGGUAGUGGCUUACCAAGGCUUUGACGGGUAGCCGGCCUGAGAGGGUGACCGGCCACCUUGGGACUGAGAUACGGACCAGACUGGUACGGGAGGCAGCAGUGGGGAAUAUUGCACAAUGGGCGGAAGCCUGAUGCAGCAACGCCGCGUGCGGGAUGACGGCCUUUGGGUUGUAAACCGCUUUCGCCUGUGACGAAGCGUGAGUGACGGUAAUGGGUAAAGAAGCACCGGCUAACUACGUG
rnacentral:rRNA from 1 species